GUCGCGAAUGGCGCCUUGGCGGUUGGCGCGCUUAGAUGAUUACCUUACAUUUUUUUCACCAUUCAAGUUUGGGUAAAGAACGGCGAAAGUAUGUUUCAAGAAGAUCUUUGAAAUGCCUUUCAAGCUAAAUUGAAGAAAAUCACGGUAAAACUUUUCACAUGCUUCAAGAUUACACCAUGACGGACAGUGUGGCUGCUACACAUAUGAUUCAGUUUAUGCUAUUGAUCCUGACAGUCCCUGACAAUCAGUUAUUGGCAUAUCCUGUGACACCCAUGAUAUCCAGUGACUAUCAAUGUGCUCUCGAGACAAGUGGCUGUUCCGUUUAAGAAUAUCCUGGGUGAUAGGCUACUCUUGUUCAUCACCUUGCAUUUGAAUCACCAGUGUACAAUCAAGUACUGUCAGCUCUAGUUAGUCAAACCUGUCAAGAUGAAGCUUGUAUAGUGAAACAUUGGAACUGACAUAACUAUUCUGAAUCAAUGACAUACCUAAUCAGUGUGAUAAAUAGUGUCAACAUUCCUGCAGCUGGUAUGAGGAGUUUGAGCAAGGCUUAUCUAGACAUGGCCAUGUCCUGUAUGAUGUCAACUCUUCAAGCAUCUAGCUGAAUCACCCUUCCUAAAGUCCACUUUCGUACGAUAGAGGGCAUUACUUUUCGCGCUCACGGAUGCAUUCUGAGUCACCAUUCCAUUGUAGGCCUGUUUUGUCAAGACGUAUUAUGUUUUGUUAUCAUUUGUCUAAUUUUCUUUAAGAAAAUCUAUCCAUUGUCAAUUCGCAGAGAACACCACGUGCACUAUCUUUCAUUCAUAUUUGCUAUUUUUGAAAUGUUUUACUUAUUGGAGAUGGUUGCUAGUAGUCAAGAUUGUUUUGUUUUUUUGUUUUUUCAACUGAAGUCUCAUGUUUGAACUUUUGGUGGAAGAAGUUUCAAGUUGAAUGAUAGAGGGCAGUACUUUUGCGCUCGCGGAUGCAUUGAAUCCUCUUUAUUUUGCUUAUUAUAGGCCUCUUUGUCAAGACAUCUAAUUCUCGUUUGUUUAAUUUGCAUAAAUGAAUCUAUCCGUUGUCCGUUUA